AACGAACGCUGGCGGCAGGCCUAACACAUGCAAGUCGAACGGACGUAGCAAUACGUUAGUGGCGCACGGGAGAGUAACGCGUGGGAACCUACCUUUUGGUUCGGGAUAACAUCGGGAAACUGGUGCUAAUACCGGAUAAGCCCUUCGGGGGAAAGAUUUAUUGCCGAAAGAUGGGCCCGCGUUGGAUUAGCUAGUUGGUGAGGUAAUGGCUCACCAAGGCAACGAUCCAUAGCUGGUCUGAGAGGAUGAUCAGCCUCACUGGGACUGAGACACGGCCCAGACUCCUACGGGAGGCAGCAGUGGGGAAUAUUGGACAAUGGGGGAAACCCUGAUCCAGCCAUGCCGCGUGAAUGAUGAAGGCCUUCGGGUUGUAAAGUCCUUUUGGUGGGGACGAUGAUGACGGUACCCACAGAAUAAGCUCCGGCUAACUUCGUGCCAGCCGCCGCAGUAAGAC
rnacentral:rRNA from 1 species